rnacentral:rRNA from 13 species
GGUACGCGAGCUGGGUUCAGAACAUCGUGAGACAGUUCGGUCCCUAUCCGUCGCGGGCGCAGGAAAUUUGAGAGGAGCUGUCCUUAGUACGAGAGGACCGGGAUGGACGCACCGCUGGUGUACCAGUUGUUCUGCCAAGGGCAUCGCUGGGUAGCUAUGUGCGGACGGGAUAAGUGCUGAAAGCAUCUAAGCAUGAAGCCCCCCUCAAGAUGAGAUUUCCCAUUCCUAUAAGGAAGUAAGAUCCCUGAAAGAUGAUCAGGUUGAUAGGUCUGAGGUGGAAGUGUGGCGACACAUGGAGCUGACAGAUACUAAUCGAUCGA